UACGUAGGGUGCGAGCGUUAAUCGGAAUUACUGGGCGUAAAGCGUGCGUAGGCGGUUCGUUAAGUUCGUUGUGAAAGCCCCGGGCUCAACCUGGGAAUUGCGGUUGAAACUAGUCGACUAGAAUCUGGCAGAGGGGGGUGGAAUUCCACGUGUAGCAGUGAAAUGCGUAGAGAUGUGGAGGAACACCGAUGGCGAAGGCAGCCCCCUGGGCUGAGAUUGACGCUCAGGCACGAAAGCGUGGGGAGCAAACAGG
rnacentral:rRNA from 1 species